CUGAUCCCCAGUGGUCCCUUGGGGAUCUCCCUCCAAACCCUGCAGUGGUGGAUGCUUCCUUCAUUUCACCUGGCUCUGGCUGUAGGGAGGAACAAUUCCAGAUGUCUUUGUGUGGAAGUGUGCGGUAGCCUCUGGGUGGGACUGGCCUCUUCUGGGGAGCACAUGGGAAUGGAAAGCCCUGAGUGCAGCUCAGAUGUUUGCCUGUGAGCAGCUCUCACUGCAGCAUGAGCUCUGUGCCUCAAACAAAGCAGCUCCUUGCAGUUCCCAUGGCAAGCUCUCCUUCCUAACUGGGCCUUGCACCAGCGCCGGUGCCGUGUUUGCUUCUGCUCCCUGAGCAUCCUCCUGUGUGUCCCCUUCUCCCCAGACCCUUCUGCCACCAAGAAGCCAAGUGGAGAGACUGUGAGGGCCGAAAUCUGUUGUCAGUGGGACUGCCCAGAGGAAAAACUCAGCCCCUCUGCUCUCCAGGGAUCUCUGCAGUCAGCACCAUCAAGGCUCCAUCCCUCCAGAGCUGCCGUGUUCUUCUAGGAGCUGUUGGACCUCUGGAAAACAAGAGGUGUUGCCAAGGAGCUACGUGGGACAACCAAUGUUUCCCUUGGGUCCUGCCUGCUGCUGGGGCACCCUCAUGUGAGUAAGGAUGGGUGGAUUUGGUGAAGUUGUGUGUGUGCAGCUCCUGCCCACCCUGCUGCUGCUCUGCUCACCUGCCCUUCCCCUCUCUGUCCUGGGGCAGAG
rnacentral:lncRNA from 12 species